UACAUUUGCAGUCUCAUACAUAAUAAUCAUUUAAAUAAUAUUGGAAUG
rnacentral:ncRNA from 1 species